UUUGGCAUCAGGUGAGUUCACCACUGUGUGAAGUUAGGACUCGAAUGGACUGCUGCCUUAUGUUCCUGAGUUCAAUGUAACUGUCACAAGUGGGGAUUUUGACAGCAGCAUCUGCUGAUCUCAUUUCCCGUCUCUGGGUCUCCUCUGAGGGAGCCCCCUGUCUCAUCUCCAGCAAUGGGAUGGAACUCGUCCAUCUCAGUCAUAGAAACUUGAGGAGAUUAAGUUUCAUACCCCAGCUUUGAGCGGAUGACUUUUGUCCUUGGUUUGGUCUUUAAGGAUGUUCACCUGGAGCAUGAUACCUAAUGAUCGGGAUAUAAUUCAGUAACCACCAGACGGAAGAGACGUCCGGGCGGGGUCUCGGAGCGUCCAUGCCCUCUCCAGGCGCACAGCUCUUCCCACCUCUCCACGUGUUCAACCCGGAAGCUCUUCGGACCCUGUCCUUUUUGGGUUUUUAUGGAGGCUUCUUUACAUAGGCACGAUUGAUUAAAUCAUUGGCCGUUGGCGAUUGAUUCAACCUCCAGCCCAUCUCCCCUCCCGGGAGGUCUGGGUGAUGGGACUGAAAGUUCCAACUCUCUAUUCACAUGGUUGGUUCCCCUGGCAACCAGCCCCCAUCCUUAGGUGACUUAGGGGCAUGCCAGAAGUCACCUCAUUAACAUAACAAAGACAUCUUUAUCAUUCUCCUCACUUAGGAAAUGCCAAAGGCUUUAGGAGCUCUGUGCCCGGAAAGCACAAAUAUAUGUGUCUCAUUAUAAACUAUAAUAUCACAGAUAGCAAGAAUUAUUUUAGAGAGGAUAAUAAGUCUGUUUCCUUAUAUGAGUUACUGAUAGAAGCACAUAAAUCUUCACCACACAGCCUGAAAAAUUUUACGUAUGUAGACAUUGCUGUAACCAUCGCAUCAAGAUUUGGAAUAUUUCCAGCACCUAGAAGGCUCCUUUGUGGUCUCUCAGGGUUAGUUCUCCCCAAAGGGUGACCAUUAUUUUAAUUGAUCAUCAUACAUCAGUUUUGCCCACUUUUAUAUAAAGAAAUCAUGCAGUCUGUGGGGCCUUCUUUGCAGAGAGGAUAGUUUUUAACUAAGAUUGCUGUAGCCCAGAGGACAUUUGAUGGUGGUGAUGAGGAUCACGGCUGCCCCAGGGAGAGAAGCUCAAGGUGACUUGGUCCUUCAUACCUAUGAUCUAUAUCAUCCUCCGGAAACGUCCUGGCUUGAUCCGAUCUGAUUCUUAUCUAAAGUUAUAGGACCACCCAAUAACCAGACCCCACCUGCACUGCUACCAUUUUAACGAUAUUUUUCAUGAUCUUUCCUUUGUCUUGUAAAGAAAUAACUCACAUACCUAAGCCUUAUAAAUUUAGCUCUAACCCUCAACACAUUGCGGCUCUUCACUGCCCAUGGGUCCUGUCCCCAUGCUAUUCUCUGAAUAAAAGAGCACUUCUACCAGACCUUGAGAGUCCAAGAAAUCUUUCUUUCACUCCUUGACUCACCAAACCCGCAUCAGUGGGAUUGGGGGGUGGGGGGAAGCAGUGAGUAGAAUAUAAGCAGUCUCUUUGCAAGUCACACUGUGGAAGCCUCUUCCCACCAGAAAAAGCCAGAGUGUGCUAGAAAACCCUUCUCAGCACAGCUGAGGAAAACCACUGCUUAUCUGAAAAGAAGGAUUAGUGGUGAGUAUAGUCUCAUCGGAGGAGGGUGACUGUUAAAGGUUUGAGUGACGUGGAUCUACCUGUGGAGGCAAAUGGCAUCACUAACAGCUACAGCCAUGAAGACAGUGGCUGCGAUGUGUGGGUAGAGACCAAGAACCCUUUAUACUCGGGAUGUCCACUCUGCACCCAGGAGUCCCAAGGGUUUAAAACGGUGCUUGGCAUACUGUAGGCAUAUUCAG
ensembl:lncRNA